rnacentral:lncRNA from 1 species
AAUAUCAAAAGAUGCAAUUCCUCACUUUUGCAAAUGCAAGAUGCUACACAUGUUUACUAAUCACAAUCAUAGUGAAAACUCAUCAUCAUUUACCUCUAGGAGACACACUCCCUUGUCUGGGUAUUUCAGUUUUUAUUUGUUAGGGAACACAUUUUUUAACUUGAACCAUCACUCCUAGAAGACGCACUUUCUAGUCAAGUCAUUUCAUUUAACCUCUAGGAGACGCACUUCCUGGCCUGAAUAAGUCAGUUUUCAUUUGUUAGGUGAAGCACUUCCUAACUAGAACCAUCACUCCUAGAAGACGCACUUUCUAGUCGAGUCAUUUCAUUUAACCCUUAGGAGACGCACUUCCUAGUCUGAAUAAGUCAAUUUUUUAUUUGUUAGGGAACACAUUUCCUAACUUGAACCAUCACUCCUAGAAGACGCACUUUCUAGUCGAGUCAUUUCAUUUAUCCCCUAGG